GGGUGCCAUCAUACCGGCACUAAUGCACCGGAUCCCAUCAAAACUCCGCAGUUAAGCGUGCUUGGGUGAGAGUAAUACUAGGAUGGGUGACCUCCCGGAAAGUCCCCGUGUUGCACUCC
rnacentral:rRNA from 2 species